rnacentral:rRNA from 1 species
CAGUCGCCGCGGUAAUACGGAGGGUGCAAGCGUUAAUCGGAAUUACUGGGCGUAAAGCGCACGCAGGCGGUUUGUUAAGUCAGAUGUGAAAUCCCCGGGCUCAACCUGGGAACUGCAUUUGAAACUGGCAAGCUAGAGUCUCGUAGAGGGGGGUAGAAUUCCAGGUGUAGCGGUGAAAUGCGUAGAGAUCUGGAGGAAUACCGGUGGCGAAGGCGGCCCCCUGGACGAAGACUGACGCUCAGGUGCGAAAGCGUGGGGAGCAAACAGGAUUAGAUACCCGAGUAGUCCCUGUCUCUUAUAC